ACCUGACAGUUAGGAUGGUUUAGAAAAGUUCUGAUGGGGGGCCAGGAGGACUGACCAGGAAAAAGGGGGGCACAGACGAGACCUGUUUUAGGUCUAGAUUUUAUGAAAUAUUGAACUGAUUAUUACAAAUAAAGUGAUCAUCUGAUGUAAAAAAA